rnacentral:rRNA from 1 species
UACGUAGGGAGCAAGCGUUGUUCGGAUUUACUGGGCGUAAAGGGCGCGUAGGCGGCAAAUUAAGUCAGCUGUGAAAUCUCCGAGCUUAACUCGGAACGGUCAGCUGAUACUGAUCUGCUAGAGUGCGGAAGGGGCAAUCGGAAUUCUUGGUGUAGCGGUGAAAUGCGUAGAUAUCAAGAGGAACACCGGUGGCGAAGGCGGGAUCCUGGGCCAGUACUGACGCUGAGGAGCGAAAGCGUGGGGAGCAAACAGG